CAGUCACGUGGUACAGGCGGCUCGCGAGGCUUCGAACGUCACCACAUAUGUCAUCAACACAAGCCUCGAUACGCGCUUCACAGAAAUCUUCCUGGAUUACUCGGCACACGCUUCGAAGCCUCGACACGGGAGGACACAUCACUAGCCCCCUGUCUGCCUCUCUACCUUGGGUGAACUGGUGCCGGGUCUGAUUAAGGCUUCCUUGGUAGCUGUUCCCGUGUGUGAUUGUUACAGUGAAGCAAGUUCCUGUGAGGUGGUUGCCAGCUGCUGGUCGAGGCUAGGCACUCUAAGUGGUUCCCUGCACUGUUUGUAGUGGUA